rnacentral:rRNA from 1 species
UACGGGGGGAGCAAGCGUUGUUCGGCUUUACUGGGCGUAAAGGGCGCGUAGGCGGCACUGCAAGUCAGUUGUGAAAUCUCCGGGCUUAACCCGGAAAGGUCAACUGAUACUGCAGGGCUAGAGUGCAGAAGGGGCAACUGGAAUUCUCGGUGUAGCGGUGAAAUGCGUAGAGAUCGGGAAGAACAUCGGUGGCGAAAGCGCUCUACUGGACCGCAACUGACACUCAGGGACGAAAGCUAGGGGAGCGAAUGGG